GUGCACGCUGGCGGCAGGCCUAACACAUGCAAGUCGAACGGCAGCACAAGAGAGCUUGCUCUCUGGGUGGCGAGUGGCGGACGGGUGAGGAAUGCAUCGGAAUCUGCCCAUUUGUGGGGGAUAACCUCGGGAAACCGGGACUAAUACCGCAUACGACCUACGGGUGAAAGCAGGGGAUCUUCGGACCUUGCGCAGAUGGAUGAGCCGAUGCCGGAUUAGCUAGUUGGAGGGGUAAAGGCCCACCAAGGCGACGAUCCGUAGCUGGUCUGAGAGGAUGAUCAGCCACACUGGGACUGAGACACGGCCCAGACUCCUACGGGAGGCAGCAGUGGGGAAUAUUGGACAAAGGGCGCAAGCCUGAUCCAGCCAUGCCGCGUGUGUGAAGAAGGCCUUCGGGUUGUAAAGCACUUUUGUUGGGAAAGAAAAGCAGCCGGUUAAUACCCGGUUGUCAUGACGGUACCCAAAGAAUAAGCACCGGCUAACUUCGUG
rnacentral:rRNA from 1 species